GCCCGAAUGGCGGAAUUGGUAGACGCGCUGGACUCAAAAUCCAGUGAUAGCAAUAUCGUGCCGGUUCGAUUCCGGCUUCGGGUA
rnacentral:tRNA from 3 species